rnacentral:rRNA from 1 species
AGAGUUUGAUCCUGGCUCAGGACGAACGCUGGCGGCGUGCCUAAUACAUGCAAGUAGAACGCUGAAGAGAGGAGCUUGCUCUUCUUGGAUGAGUUGCGAACGGGUGAGUAACGCGUAGGUAACCUGCCUUGUAGCGGGGGAUAACUAUUGGAAACGAUAGCUAAUACCGCAUAACAAUGGAUGACCCAUGUCAUUUAUUUGAAAGGGGCAAAUGCUCCACUACAAGAUGGACCUGCGUUGUAUUAGCUAGUAGGUGAGGUAACGGCUCACCUAGGCGACGAUACAUAGCCGACCUGAGAGGGUGAUCGGCCACACUGGGACUGAGACACGGCCCAGACUCCUACGGGAGGCAGCAGUAGGGAAUCUUCGGCAAUGGGGGCAACCCUGACCGAGCAACGCCGCGUGAGUGAAGAAGGUUUUCGGAUCGUAAAGCUCUGUUGUAAGUCAAGAACGAGUGUGAGAGUGGAAAGUUCACACUGUGACGGUAGCUUACCAGAAAGGGACGGCUAACUACGUGCCAGCAGCCGCGGUAAUACGUAGGUCCCGAGCGUUGUCCGGAUUUAUUGGGCGUAAAGCGAGCGCAGGCGGUUUGAUAAGUCUGAAGUUAAAGGCUGUGGCUCAACCAUAGUUCGCUUUGGAAACUGUCAAACUUGAGUGCAGAAGGGGAGAGUGGAAUUCCAUGUGUAGCGGUGAAAUGCGUAGAUAUAUGGAGGAACACCGGUGGCGAAAGCGGCUCUCUGGUCUGUAACUGACGCUGAGGCUCGAAAGCGUGGGGAGCGAACAGGAUUAGAUCCCCUGGUAGUCCACGCCGUAAACGGUGGAUGCUGGAUGU